AUGUACACUGACAUGGAUGGAUGGAGCACAACAACACAGCCCUACUACUUCAGCUCUGCUAGGCACAGAUUAGUGCGGGGGGACACCAUACUACUACGGAGGGGGAUAAAUUUAACAACAAACAACGAAAAACGGGGGGCAAGUCAUGACGACGGCGAUGAAGAUGAAGGCAAUCUGUAUGUUGUUGACGUUGCUGUGACAGAUAUUGUAAGAUGUAUGUAUAUCAUGCCACUUUUGCUAGGGCGGUCUCGGUCUAGAAAUCUGUCUUCAGGAGCUUGGACACUGGCUUCACGCAAAAUAAGGCACAAGGACCAUGAAGCAAAAUUGAUGACGUACCAAGGUCUCGAAGAACAUCCUUGA
rnacentral:rRNA from 1 species